rnacentral:rRNA from 1 species
GGCGGACGGGUGAGUAAUAUAUAGGUAAUGUGCCCUAGAGAAGAGGAUAACAGUUGGAAACGACUGCUAAUACUCUAUAUGCCUUUAAGACAAAAGUCUGCAAGGGAAAUAUUUAUAGCUCUAGGAUCGGCCUGUACGGUAUCAGCUAGUUGGUGAGGUAAUGGCUCACCAAGGCAAUGACGCCUAACUGGUUUGAGAGGAUGAUCAGUCACACUGGAACUGAGACACGGUCCAGACUCCUACGGGAGGCAGCAGUGGGGAAUAUUGCACAAUGGGGGAAACCCUGAUGCAGCAACGCCGCGUGGAGGAUGACACAUUUCGGUGCGUAAACUCCUUUUAUAUAGGAAGAUAAUGACGGUACUAUAUGAAUAAGCGCCGGCUAACUCCGUGCCAGCAGCCGCGGUAAUACGGAGGGCGCAAGCGUUACUCGGAAUCACUGGGCGUAAAGAGCGUGUAGGCGGGUUAAUAAGUUUGAAGUGAAAUCCUAUGGCUCAACCAUAGAACUGCUUUGAAAACUGUUAACCUAGAAUAUGGGAGAGGUAGAUGGAAUUUCUGGUGUAGGGGUAAAAUCCGUAGAGAUCAGAAGGAAUACCGAUUGCGAAGGCGAUCUACUGGAACAUUAUUGACGCUGAGACGCGAAAGCGUGGGGAGCAAACAGGAUUAGAUACCCUGGUAGUCCACGCCCUAAACGAUGUUCACUAGUUGUUGUGAGGCUAGACCUUGCAGUAAUGCAGUAAACACAUUAA